CAUACUUACCUGGCAGGGGAGAUACCAUGAUCACGAAGGUGGUUUUCCCAGGGCGAGGCUUAUCCAUUGCACUCCGGAUGUGCUGACCCCUGCGAUUUCCCCAAAUGUGGGAAAACUCGACUGCAUAAUUUGUGGUAGUGGGGGACUGCGUUCGCG
rnacentral:snRNA from 1 species